rnacentral:rRNA from 1 species
CGCGUAGGCGGCCUGCUAAGUCUGAAGUGAAAGUCCUGCUUUCAAGGUGGGAAGUGCUUUGGAUACUGGUGGGCUGGAGUGCAGGAGAGGAAAGCGGAAUUACCGGUGUAGCGGUGAAAUGCGUAGAGAUCGGUAGGAACACCAGUGGCGAAGGCGGCUUUCUGGACUGAAACUGACGCUGAGGUGCGAAAGCGUGGGGAGCAAACA